rnacentral:lncRNA from 1 species
UUUUAAUAGUUUUGAAAAAAAAAAAAAAAGUAAUGCCAGACUACAGGAAAAGUCGUAAUAAGAGGGUGUAACGGGGGUAUUGAUAGAAAUGUUGCUGGCAAACCAGGUUACGCGAUUAAGCCCAAAUUAGAUUUGAAUGUCAGCGAUUUCAUUGGCCUUGUGGAAGAAAGUUACAACUGUACAGAAUUCUUCUUCUCAUUCUCCCUAAUCGUGUUUGCAGCCUGGUGGUUGAAGACGUGAUGAUGGAAGGAGAUACUUGAGCGCCAGAGAGGUACGAUAAUUCACUGUUAAAAAUAGCCUAACCCUUAAACGGAUCUGAGUAUCCGUCAAUGAAUGUCGACAUCCGUUAAGGUAUGUCUUUUUCCUCCUACGCACACACAACCAGAAACAUCAGACCAUGAAACGAAGCAAAACAAACAACAAUCGUGAGC